rnacentral:rRNA from 1 species
UACCAGCACCCCGAGUGGUCGGGACGAUUAUUGGGCCUAAAGCAUCCGUAGCCGGUUCUACAAGUCUUCCGUUAAAUCCACCUGCUUAACAGUUGGGCUGCAGAGGAUACUAUAGAGCUAGGAGGCGGGGGAGGCAAGCGGUACUUAGUGGGUAGGGGUAAAAUCCGUUGAUCCACUGAAGACCACCAGUGGCGAAGGCGGCUUGCCAGAACGCGCUCGACGGUGAGGGAUGAAAGCUGGGGGAGCAAACCGGAUUAGAAACCCCAGUAGCCC